rnacentral:rRNA from 1 species
CGAAUUCGCCCUUAGAGUUUGAUCCUGGCUCAGGACGAACGCUGGCGGCGUGCUUAACACAUGCAAGUCGAACGGAAAGGCCUCUUUCGGGGGGUACUCGAGUGGCGAACGGGUGAGUAACACGUGAGUAACCUGCCCUUGACUUUGGGAUAACUUCAGGAAACUGGGGCUAAUACCGGAUAGGAGCUCCUGCUGCAUGGUGGGGGUUGGAAAGUUUCGGCGGUUGGGGAUGGACUCGCGGCUUAUCAGCUUGUUGGUGGGGUAGUGGCUUACCAAGGCUUUGACGGGUAGCCGGCCUGAGAGGGUGACCGGCCACAUUGGGACUGAGAUACGGCCCAGACUCCUACGGGAGGCAGCAGUGGGGAAUAUUGCACAAUGGGUGGAAGCCUGAUGCAGCAACGCCGUGUGCGGGAUGACGGCCUUCGGGUUGUAAACCGCUUUCGCUCAUGACGAAUCUUUGUGUGACGGUAAUGGGUAAAGAAGCACCGGCUAACUACGUGCCAGCAGCCGCGGUGAUACGUAUGGUGCGAGCGUUGUCCCGAUUUAUUGGGCGUAAAGGGCUCGUAAGUGGUUGAUCGCGUCGGAAGUAUAAUCUUGGGGCUUAACCCUGAGCGUGCUUUUGAUACUGCUUGACUUGAUGAAGGUAGGGGAGAAUGAGAUUCCUGGUGGAGCGGUGGAAUGAGCAGAUAUCAAGAGGAACACCGGUGGCGAAGGCGGUUCUCUGGGACUUUCUUGACGCUGAGGAGCGAAAGCGUGGGGAGCCGACAGGAUUA